CGGCAACAGCUCAAAUUUGAAAUCUGGCGCAAGCCCGAAUUGUAAUUUGCAGAGGAAUGUUCGGCGAAGGCUAGGUCUAAAUCUUCUGGAAGGAAGUGCCAUUGAGGGUGAGAGCCCCGUAUGACUGAAGCCUGAACCAUGUGUACAUCCUUCGAA
rnacentral:rRNA from 1 species